rnacentral:rRNA from 1 species
AUGGUGGUUGGACCACUAGUCAAAAUCGUGAUGGAGAAGGUGUCCAACUACCUCCUCGACCAGUACAAGGUGAUGAAGGGCAUGGAGGAGCAACAUGAGAUUCUGAAGCGCAAACUGCCCGCCAUCCUGGACAUCAUCACCGACGCUGAGCAGGCGGCAACCCACAGAGAAGGCGUAGCAGCCUGGCUCGAGGCCAUCAAGAAGGUGGCCUACCAGGCGAGUGAAGUCUUUGAUGAGUUCAAGUACGAGGCGCUUCGUCGUCAAGCAAAAAAGAAGGGGCACUACAAGGAGCUUGGCUUCCAUGUGGUAAAACUCUUUCCCACACACAACCGUUUCAUAUUCCGUAAAAGGAUGGGGAAAAAGCUCCACAAGAUUGUGCACACCAUCAAGGUCUUGGUGACCGAAAUGAAUGCCUUUGGCUUUAAGUAUCAGCAACAACCACCGGUAUCCAGUCAGUUGCGGCGGAAGGGUCCUGCUAACACUGACCCAAAGGAAAUCAUGGAAAUCAUCAGAAAAUCCAGAGCCAAUGAUAAGAGUGCGAUUGUUAGUAGACUAGUUGGGCAAGCUAAAAAUGCAGAUCUUACAGUUGUUCCCAUCGUUGGAAUGGGGGGACUCGGGAAGACCACGUUAGCGCAACUUGUUUACAAAGAAUCUAUAAUUCAGGAGCAUUUUGGUUUGUUGAUAUGGGUGUGUGCCUCUGAGUGCUAUGAUGUGGAUUCUCUGGCUAAACGUAUAGUUGAAGCAGCUCCUGAGAAGAAGGAUGGUGAAGCAACUGCCAUGUCAAGGAAGACACUACUUGAUAACCUUCAGAAUGUUGUGAGUGGGCAAAAGUACCUCCUUGUAUUGGAUGAUGUCUGGGAACGGCAAGUU